GACGGAGGAUGCAAGCGUUAUCCGGAAUGAUUGGGCGUAAAGCGUCCGCAGGUGGCAGUUCAAGUCUGCUGUCAAAGACCGGGGCUUAACUUCGGAAAGGCAGUGGAAACUGAACAGCUAGAGUAUGGUAGGGGCAGAGGGAAUUCCUGGUGUAGCGGUGAAAUGCGUAGAGAUCAGGAAGAACAUCGGUGGCGAAGGCGGUUCUCUGGGCCUUACCUGACGCUGAGGAGCGAAAGCGUGGGGAGCGAACAGG
rnacentral:rRNA from 1 species